UACUAACGCUACCGUAGUUACCGAACUGGGUUCCAUCUACACCACCGAACAGCAGAUCCAGCAGAACCAGGAAACCCUACUGACUCAAGUAGAGACUCGGCUAAGGGGCCGCCAGCUACACAUCCGCUUCGAUGCUUCAAACAUGGCGGUGGAACCUCGUAUCUGAGCUCACCUCCUUCAGGCCAUGAAGGACCGGGUGAGCCUCCGCUGCUGACCCGGACCUAGACGGCACCCUCACCCUCACCCUUAAGUCUGACUUGUGCUGUUGUACAUGAAGAAUAAAGAAUAAAAAAGUG